AUUGAACGCUGGCGGCAUGCCUUACACAUGCAAGUCGAACGGCAGCACGGGAGCAAUCCUGGUGGCGAGUGGCGAACGGGUGAGUAAAGUAUCGGAACGUGCCCAGUCGUGGGGGAUAACGUAGCGAAAGUUACGCUAAUACCGCAUACGAUCUAUGGAUGAAAGCGGGGGAUCGCAAGACCUCGCGCGAUUGGAGCGGCCGAUAUCAGAUUAGGUAGUUGGUGGGGUAAAGGCUCACCAAGCCGACGAUCUGUAGCUUGUCUGCGAGGACGACCAGGCACACUGGGACUGAGACACGGCCCAGACUCCUACGGGAGGCAGCAGUGGGGAAUUUUGGACAAUGGGCGAAAGCCUGAUCCAGCCAUGCCGCGUGCAGGAUGAAGGCCUUCGGGUUGUAAACUGCUUUUGUACGGAACGAAAAGGUUUGGCCUAAUAAGCUGAGCUCAUGACGGUACCGUAAGAAUAAGCACCGGCUAACUACGUGCCAGCCGCCGCAGUAA
rnacentral:rRNA from 1 species